UCAGUCCUUCAGUUUCCUGUAAUAAUGAGGAACACAUGUUUCUGUCUUUUGUUGUUUCCUGACAUGAACGAGGCUGUUCUCCCUCUUUGCGGUUUAGAAAGGAACUCCGUUAAAUCCAGCAGCGUGUGCGUGCGUGUGUAUGUGCGUGUGUGCGCGCUUGUGUGUGUGAGAAGCAGACGUGCAGACGAUCCGCUCCGUCCUCUCUCAUGUAAACACAACUCUGAAGCUUAACAGAGAGAGGAGCAGCCCGCCCACCUGUUUGUGAUUGUUUCAGGUAUCAUAGUCAGUUUGUCUUAUUGUAUCAUUGGAGAGUUUUAACUCAAAGAACAAGCAAAGUUCCCAGUGUUUGCGUCGUGGGAGUGCACAUCAGGAUAUACUCUCACAUGUCUCUGCAAAAACAUCAGAUGGAUAAAAGGCUGAAGACUGUAAACAUGUUAACCUGAAGGGUUACAAGUCCUCCAUCAGCUAACAGUCCAGAAUGAACUCUGUCUGGUGACUGAGAAAGCGGAGCUGUCCAUGAGGGCCACCAUGUUUCCACAGCAGUCUUCAUGGACACCCUUCAGUCCUUCCUGUUUAUUUGCUGUUAGUUGUGAACAGGAGCCUCAUCUCCUAAUGCUUCUAAAUCCUGCACACUUAAGGUUUCCCAUUCUGGCUCUGUGGGUUUAAAUCGUCAAGAAGCACCAAAGUCAAGACAGUCCCUGAAGCCUGGAGAAUAAUCAAAGACAAACAGACUUUGUUUGUUCAGACAGAGCUGCACCCUGAUCAACAAGUUAUUUUCUAUUUUUUGUGAGUCGAAGGCAGACAGCAUUUAAAGCAUCAUUAGUACAGUAAUAAACAGCCUCAUGUGCAUGCAUCAUGUAUGAAUACAGAGGAUAUAAAGUA